GAAGAGGGUAAAUCUUUUAUUUUAGAAAUUAUGCAGCUAGUAUAUGAAAAGAAAUGAAAGACUGAGACUUUUGCAAUUUGUAAUGAAUUAACAGAUUUAGCCACUGAACAGCAAUGGCAAUUAACAUCACAAAAAAGAAAUAACUAGUAUUGAAUUCUUCCUCUUGAUGAAAAACAUGAUAUAGUACCAUCAAUCCUCAUGGCAAAAAAAAAAAAAAAAAAAAAAACCCUGAAUAGACGCAAACCUCUAUAACAAACUACCAAUUUACAGAAAAUACAGGUCAUAGAGAUACAUUAAACCACACCUUGGGGUGCAAUCUGCAAAAUGCAAAGGACAGGAAACUACCAGACAAUAUAAAUUUCAAGCAGGAAUCUAUGGAAUAAAUGAGGAUAAAAAUAUACUCUUAAAGGUAAAACUAAACUAUAACUUUAGAUGAUAAGUGCACAAUUAUAAAUUUGAUUAAAAUAAAAACAAAAGCUUCAGUGAAUAUGCAAGUUUAUGUCUAAUGACAACCGCAUUCAACAAUGAUAUUUAAGGGUUAACUAAAAUGUGAAAAUACUUAAACAUGAAAUAGGCAUGUAUAAAUGUGUUUUUGACACCAAACGUGAACACAAAUGUGAAAUAAUACACCUGUAAACACAUCUCUGGAUAGAUAGCCCACGAUUGAAUUCUCUACCCCACCUCCUUUACUGGUUGACCUGUGAACACAGGCAGGCAGUGGACCAGGACCCAACUAGGUUCCUUCAUCCUCUUGCUUCUAGGCAGGCCUUGCAUCCACUUUUGCUGCACAGAGGGCUCCCAUCCCUGCCUUGGUCCGUUUCACAGGUGAUCCCAUAACUCUCCCUGCCACCACUGUCUACUUAAAGGGUAAAUUUCUAUAGUAUAAAAUUAUGAAGACAUAGUAGAUAUGAGGUAAUGCAUGAGAGUGUGACAGGGUGAGGGGACCUCAAGGUGCCAGGAAAGCUGGUCCUGGGCUCCCCAGAAGGAGCCGUAACCAGGACACUCACUCAUAAAUCUCAUUUAUAAUAAUAAUACAAUGACCGCAUAUGUAAUAUAUUAAAAUAUAAUCAAAUGAUAACAAAAAUAAUGUGGCACAGCUGCAAACCCCUCAUAUAUACUAACGCUUUUCAUCCACCCAACCACAAGAAAUAAAUGCUGUUAGUUUCCCCAUUUCAUAGAUGAGGAAACUGAGGCACCAAGUGGGAAAGUGCUGGUGAGACCUGGGCAGGGAGUUGAAUUCUGGCCAUCUGGCUGCAGAGUGUAGCUGCCCUCAGUGGAGCCAGUAGACCCAGGAGUUGACACCAGAGACUGAAAUCCCAGCUGUGCACUGCCCUGGUGGUCUCCUGUCCCAACCGGGCGUUGAUCCGGGCCUUGCAGGCUCACGUGCUUUUUUUUUUUUUUAACCAGGAACACAUGCACUUUAUUGAAUGCCAUUGUAGAAGAGUGUGUGAGGAUAAAGCGCUGAUACAGAACUCAGCUCUGGGGCCAGGACGAGGAAUGGAAGUUGGAGUAUGUGGAAUACAGGUCAUGGGCAGAGCUCCUGGCCUGGAUGAUGCCUCCUGAUCUAUCGACAGACUUGGAAGAUCAACACUAGGAUGAUGACGGUGAGCAGAAUGGUCAUGAUGAUGCACACAAUCAGGGCUCAGAUGUUCAGGUACUUGGCAGUGGAGGCAUAGGCCUGGGCCCCAGUCAGGUCUCCAACCAUCUUCCUGUCCCUAGACUUCAGGGAGUAGGUGAAUGCUAUGAAUCCCAGGCAGUGGGGGUUCAUGAAGAGGAUGUUGGACAGGGACCAGACAACAUAGUCAGACACGGAGGUCUCGCUGCAGAUAUGGAUCAUGGUGGACAUUGGGGGAGCAGGGUUGUGGGGCGCCCCCAGCACAGCCACCUCAUGCUCCUCCUUGAGCAUCUCAUAGCUGGGGUUGGGGGG
rnacentral:lncRNA from 1 species